rnacentral:lncRNA from 1 species
CUUCCUACCGCUUGGCUGACUUGGGGUAAUUUAACUCCUUCUCUGCUAUAACACUUCUAUCUCAGUGUAUUGGCUUUAUCUGUGUAAUGGACAAGAAGAACUCUUUUGACUGUAACAGUAAGUAUAAGUUAUGAGAGGUCAUUGGGUUCUGAAUUUCUUUUUGUGAAGAGUUUGUGUAAGGAAUGAGAGGAGGAAAGUCAAUUGUAACUCUAAGAGUGACCAAGGUCUUUGGCUUAAGCAGUUUGAAGGAUUGAUGCAUUAAUUUAUAUGAGGAUGAUGAUGGGUUGGGAAGGUUUUGGGAAAAGACUUAGGAUUUUAUUUUGGAAAUGUUAAGUUUGAUAUAUGUAUCAGACUGUCAAAUGCAUAUGUUGGAUAGGCAGUUCCAUAUAUGAAUCUGGAAUUUAGGAGAGCUGGUGAUAUGAAUUUGGGAGUUGUAGGCAAAAAGUAGUAUUUAAAGCUAUAGAAAAAUGAUAAGAUAAUUAAUGGAGUGAGUAUAGAUAAAUA